AAGCACACCCUACCCCCUCCUCUCUCCUCUCUUUCCCUCCUUUCACCUAAACUAGUGGCUGCCCUCAUUUUCUCUCUCUCUCUCUCUCUCUCUCCUUGCCAAAAAUGGCAAAAGUUCAGAGGUUUCAGACCUCAAUCAGUUUUUGUAUGUCCCUUUGCGACAAAGAAUUAAUGCAUCCGUCCUAUUUCCACUCAUUCUCACCACACACCGCCUUAGAGGUAUAAAGUUACUCCCAAUUUCACUUUUUUCUUUUACUUUCUUGCCUGAAUCUAGGACAAUAGCAUUAAGUAAUGUUGUUUCUUCCAUUUGAAACCCUCGAUGCCCAUUGGUUCUUCAAGUACCAACUGGAUCGAGGGAGAUUGGCUCAAAUCCAGCCAUACAUUGUUGCAUUACAUUGAUCUCAGUCGUUUAUUCCAGUAACAAGCAAGAAUUUCUCAAAAAAUUACAUUAUAUCCCACAUCGAUGGACUAGGGUUUAGUAUUUCUGGGGGGUUCUAUUUUUAUUGAAUUCGGGGGAGAAAAAAAAGGAUUUUUGAUACCCAAAAGGAUUGAAUCUUGAACAUUUAACUCAAAUUUAGGCCACUAGUAAAAAAAAAAAAUAGACUUAGCUUUUAAAGAAGUUGAGUCUUCCUAGUUCUAAAACUUGUUUCUUUUCUGUUUGUGUGGCUGAGUUCUUGGAUUGGAAGCACUAAGGCUCCAAGUUCAAUCUUGUUCGCGGUUGCACAUCAAAAAGUGCAUGACCACUCGGGCCGGGUCAAAGCCAACCUGUUGGGCCAAGGCUCAACAGGUCACUGCUUUCACAAUAAAGGGUCCGAGAACGUGAAAAGGGAAGCAAUUAUUAUAGACGUAUAUAAAGGCCCAGCCAUGGGUGAAAAUGGCCAACUAGGGGCUUGGUAUGCCCCUAGCCCAACUCACUUUUAUAUACGCAUUUGUAUUUUGAUGUUGUAUUUGUAUUUAUAUAUUUGUAAAGCGCUUGUACUGAUUGGAAUCUUUAUAGUUAUGAACUAGUCGUCUUAGGACAA